rnacentral:rRNA from 1 species
UACGUAGGUGGCAAGCGUUCUCCGGAUUUACUGGGCGUAAAGAGCGCGCAGGCGGUCGUUCAAGUCGCGUGUGAAAGCCCCCGGCUCAACUGGGGAAGGUCACGCGAUACUGAUCGACUCGAAGGCAGGAGAGGGUAGUGGAAUUCCCGGUGUAGUGGUGAAAUGCGUAGAUAUCGGGAGGAACACCAGUGGCGAAGGCGACUACCUGGCCUGUUCUUGACGCUGAGGCGCGAAAGCUAGGGGAGCAAACGGG